rnacentral:lncRNA from 1 species
AGGUACCAAGUCCUGGCUCUGCAAGAGAUUCCACUGGGAGCUUCUGGUUCCCAUCUCUCUAAGUGGCCACUUUGAGGGGGCCUCCAGAGGGGACAAAGAGGCCAGGAACAGAGAUGCUGAGGUCAAACAGGGCCAUGGCGUAGUGAGUGCCCUUGUGAAGUCUUGACCUUCAGAAUCCACCUCCCAAACCAUGAACUGGGGAGUCAAGCCCCCGCCACAGGGCUGUUGCAAAGAUUCCCAAGAUAAGGGAUCGAACUCUGCACCUUGCGCUUGCGAGGCAGGCGGUGGAACCACUGAGAUAAAUCCAGGCCUGAAAGAAUCUACAUAAAAGAUCUCCUGUGUCCUAUU